rnacentral:lncRNA from 1 species
UUUUCUCCGCCUCCCGGAGAAUCAUCGAACCCAAUGGCAACACUUCCCUUGUCCCGGAUCUAGGGUUCCAAGGCUUUGUCGGUGUGGAAUUUGUCGACUUGUUACUCGGACUCGGGUUAACCCGAGGCUUCCAGGUAUCCACUUCUAGAAUCUUAUCACUCCUUUCAUCAUCAGGUCGACAUUGUUUACUGCUCCAUGAUCCAUCGUCCAUCCAAUUUUCCAACCAAUUUAACCCUUUAAAACGUUCUUGGAUGAAAGACCCUUUCGCACUAGUAAAUUUCUGUGAGAAUUUCAUAUUUCAGUCAACAAUCAGCGAGAAAUCACUGUUUAUGACGUUUAUUAAUGGAAUUUAACAACUUACAGGAUGAUUAUGCGAGUUUGAUGAUCUGGUGCUUGAAUGUGGUGACGCCGACAAUGAAGAUCGACUAGCGCAAGCUCGAGCUUGGACACGAGCCAUGGCUUGCAUUCUUCGAAGCAUUUCUGCGCUUUGUUUUCGAACGAUUCGACCUCGA